UACGGAGGAUCCAAGCGUUAUCCGGAUUUAUUGGGUUUAAAGGGUGCGUAGGCGGUUUAUUAAGUCAGUGGUGAAAGCCCGGAGCUCAACUUCGGAACUGCCAUUGAUACUGAUAGACUUGAGUACAGAUGAAGUGGGCGGAAUGUGACAAGUAGCGGUGAAAUGCUUAGAUAUGUCACAGAACACCGAUUGCGAAGGCAGCUGACGAAACUGUAACUGACGCUGAGGCUCGAAAGCGUGGGGAUCAAACAGG
rnacentral:rRNA from 1 species